GCAGUUUCCAGUAAGAUAUGAAGGUUCAGUUAGCACACAGAAAGGAGUCUGUACAUGUGAGGGAAGGAUCUGGAUUCUGACAGCUUCUGGGUAGCAACUCUUUCCACACAGGCAGGGCUCCUGGUUACAUUCCUGUUCCUCAGGAUGGUGAACAGCAACAAGCACACAGGCUCCUUGGCAUUUUACCUUGCUUUGAGAGACAUACAUGCCUUACAGUCCUGCUCACUGUCCCUAGGCCCUUGCUUUGCACAGGUUCCACUCUCCUGGGCAUGCCUGGGACGAGAUCUCUGGGCUAUUACUAGGAUCUCCUGCUUGUUUUUCUCAGUUCUGGCUAAAGCUUGGACCUCGCUUCUCUUAACUGAGCCCCAGAAAACUGCUGUCCCUUGCUAGAUUGUUUAC
rnacentral:lncRNA from 1 species